UACGGGGGGGCAAGCGUUGUUCGGAAUUACUGGGCGUAAAGGGCUCGUAGGCGGCCAACUAAGUCAGACGUGAAAUCCCUCGGCUUAACCGGGGAACUGCGUCUGAUACUGGAUGGCUUGAGUUUGGGAGAGGGAUGCGGAAUUCCAGGUGUAGCGGUGAAAUGCGUAGAUAUCUGGAGGAACACCGGUGGCGAAGGCGGCAUCCUGGACCAACACUGACGCUGAGGAGCGAAAGCCAGGGAGCAAAGCGGG
rnacentral:rRNA from 1 species